rnacentral:misc_RNA from 1 species
UUAAGUUCAGCGGGUAUCCCUACCUGAUCCGAGGUCAACCUUAUAAUAGUUGGGGUUGUUGGCAAGUAACACCUAAGACCCUGUCGCGAGAAAAUUACUACGCGUAGAGCUUAAGAGCACCGCCACUUAUUUUAAGGCCCACCCAGUCGGGUGUAGCCCAAUACCAAGCAGAGCUUGAGGGUUGUAAUGACGCUCGAACA